CUCAAUAUCUAGUCCUAUGUAUCUUACAUUCUGUUUUAAUAUCUGACAAGUGACAGUUAGGAUGCGGUCCAUUAUUAUUUAACCUUCAAAAGGGUUUAUUAGAGACCUUUGACAAUUUGAAUAAUUCCUAAAACUUGACAGCUGGUUAAUCAUUUCACUUGACAUAAAUCAGCUGAUUUUCACUUCAAUUAGUCCAUCCAGAAUACUAGAAAUGUGAAUAUUUUCUGACCACACCCUACGAUAGGUUAUCAUCAUCCACAUUAAGAUGAUUUAGCGAAAAAAUUGAAUUAUUAAUUCUAUUAUAGUGAAGAAAAGCAAUGUAUAAUUAUUGCGCUCACCUGGAGUGAGUGGUUCAAUAGUACUUUUCCUUUAUAGCAAUUAACUAGCAUUAUUCUCUCUUAUUGUUUCAUAGAAAAUUGAAAUAAACCGACCAUUUUAUUCCCGCCAACAUAAAAUUCCCAUCACAAAAGAACAGCAUAAGAAGCACAAAGAGCGCGCUAGUAGUACCCAAUAAUUUCUUAAUUAACACGUUCAACCUUGACGAACGUUAUACUUGCGUUACGUCACGGCAUAUCUAUUGAAAAAUGAAUAACCUAUUCAUUUACAACGUACCGUUUUACAAUAGUUACACAAGGUCACCAGAACGUGCAUGCGCCACAUAUUUCUGCCUCUGCGGUACUUUUAUCGGUACCCGCUACGUUUUAAUGGUCGCGUUUACGAGAGUUUGCUAGAAAAUGGGUUUGUUUGUCUGUUUGGUAACUAGAACUGGUCGUUGGUUGGAACUGUUACGUCACCUUGUGAUCUAUAUAUACAUAUUGUAAACACCGAGAAACCAACUGAUACUCCGUCAUUUUGGAAUGACAAGUGGCACACCGCACGACGCGACGUCUAGAAGGAUGGCAAAAAUCGUCCGGAACAGUGUUCAGCCAAGUAUAUAAGGAGCCGCAUCGCUGAUAGUUGUCAGUUCAGUGAAAUAAAUUUAGAAAUAUUGGCGCGAAAUUUAAAUAGUGGUAAAUAAAUACAGUAAAAAUAUAUAUCUUGUAGUGAGUGAUCCUGUUUUCGUAAUGAAAUGUGUAAAUAAAUUAGUUGACUAUU